rnacentral:rRNA from 1 species
GACAGAGGCCCCGAGCGUUAGUCGGAAUUACUGGGCUUAAAGGGUGCGUAGGCGGGCGUGUAAGUGUCUUGUGAAAGCCCUGGGCUCAACCCAGGAACCGCAGGGCAUACUGCACGUCUCGAGGUAGCUAGAGGCCGGUGGAACGAUCGGUGGAGCGGUGGAAUGCGUAGAGAUCGAUCGGAACGCCAAGGGUGAAGACAACCGGCUGGGGCUUACCUGACGCUGAGGCACGAAAGCGUGGGGAUCAAACAGG